rnacentral:rRNA from 1 species
UACAGAGGUCCCAAGCGUUGUUCGGAUUCACUGGGCGUAAAGGGUGCGUAGGUGGUUAGGUAAGUCCGAUGUGAAAUCUCCAGGCUCAACCUGGAAAUGGCAUUGGAUACUAUUUAGCUUGAGGAGUGGAGGGGGGACUGGAAUUCUCGGUGUAGCAGUGAAAUGCGUAGAGAUCAUGAGGAAGACCAGUGGCGAAGACGGGUCUCUGGACAGUUCCUGACACUGAGGCACGAAGGCCAGGGGAGCAAACGGG